GUGCUCACUUGGGCAGACAUACACUAAAAUUGGAACCAUACAGAGAAGAUCAGCAUGGCCUCUGGGCAAGGAUAACACACAAAUUCUAGAAGCGUUCCAUAUUUAA
ensembl:snRNA U6 U6 spliceosomal RNA